UACGUAGGGGGCAAGCGUUGUCCGGAAUUAUUGGGCGUAAAGAGCGUGUAGGCGGCCAAACAGGUCAGCUGUGAAAACUCGAGGCUCAACCUCGAGACGUCGGUUGAAACCGUUUGGCUAGAGUCCGGAAGAGGAGAGUGGAAUUCCCGGUGUAGCGGUGAAAUGCGCAGAUAUCGGGAAGAACACCCGUGGCGAAGGCGGCUCUCUGGGACGGUACUGACGCUGAGACGCGAAAGCGUGGGGAGCGAACAGG
rnacentral:rRNA from 1 species